rnacentral:rRNA from 1 species
UACGGAGGGGACUAGCGUUGUUCGGGAUUACUGGGCGUAAAGCGCACGUAGGCGGAUUUGUAAGUCAGGGGUGAAAUCCCGGGGCUCAACCUCGGAACUGCCUUUGAUACUGCAAAUCUCGAGUCCGGAAGAGGUGAGUGGAAUUCCUAGUGUAGAGGUGAAAUUCGUAGAUAUUAGGAAGAACACCAGUGGCGAAGGCGGCUCACUGGUCCGGUACUGACGCUGAGGUAGAA